UAGAAACUUCCAAGCAGUUGUGUUAAGGCAAGUUGGAGCUAGACUCUGCAGGACACCGGCCCUUCAGGACCAAAUUUGGAGACCCCUGGUGUAUCUACUAAAUCAGCGUAAUUACGUUAUUGAAUCAUGUCCAAAAUUAUACCCUUUUUACUACGGAGGAGACUAUCGCCAUUUCCCGCCGAUUGGACUGCAAGCAAGAUUCCUGAGCUACCCCUUCACUGCAGACAAGCUGAAGGCUAAAUCCUCAUUUGGAGUCUUUCUGGAUCUCAUCAUCUUUGGACAGAAUUUAGGAUAUUGUUGAAACCCGGGAUCUCCACUGAAGGACCUUUGUGUUUGUGGACACGCAUACAGACCAGGGAACAUUCUGAUGUUGUCAGUCAAGUUCUGAUCAGGAGCCAAUCUUCGUAGAAGUUCAUUUUUUCCCACAGAUGGACCAAAAUGUUGUGUUGGCUUUUAAAAUGCUAUUUUGAUAAUGAAUUUUACUCGUAUACUGUGGAAAAGAUAGGAGUACAGACAUUGAUAAUAAGAAAUGUUUUUUAAGCAUCAAAAAUACUUAUUUAAAAAUACUUUUGGCCACAAGUGUAAUGAUUAUGAAGGUGAAGUUAUGUCAUUUUAUCUAAUGAGAUGAAUACAACUGUUUUGGCCUGUGUUGGACAUUUCCCUUUUGACUGCUUCAAAUUUUACAUAUUCUGCAGUUCUAUGAAUGUAAUUCUUGAAAUUUCAUCAUAAUAAAUAUUUUGACAAUGA